rnacentral:rRNA from 1 species
AGUGAACGCUGGCGGUAGGCCUAACACAUGCAAGUCGAACGGCAGCACAGUAAGAGCUUGCUCUUACGGGUGGCGAGUGGCGGACGGGUGAGGAAUACAUCGGAAUCUACUUUUUCGUGGGGGAUAACGCAGGGAAACUUACGCUAAUACCGCAUACGACCUACGGGUGAAAGCAGGGGAUCUUCGGACCUUGCGCGAUUGAAUGAGCCGAUGUCGGAUUAGCUAGUUGGCGGGGUAAAGGCCCACCAAGGCGACGAUCCGUAGCUGGUCUGGGAGGAUGAUCAGCCACACUGGAACUGAGACACGGUCCAGACUCCUACGGGAGGCAGCAGUGGGGAAUAUUGGACAAUGGGCGCAAGCCUGAUCCAGCCAUACCGCGUGGGUGAAGAAGGCCUUCGGGUUGUAAAGCCCUUUUGUUGGGAAAGAAAAGCAGCAGGUUAAUACCCCGCUGUUCUGACGGUACCCAAAGAAUAAGCACCGGCUAACUUCGUG